UGAUGUUCACAUUUUUGCCUU
rnacentral:piRNA from 1 species